rnacentral:rRNA from 1 species
CAGGGAAUCUUGCGCAAUGGCCGGGAGUCCGACGCAGCGACGCCGCGUGGGUGAAGACGGCCUUCGGGUUGUAAAGCCCUUUUCUGGGGGAAGAGAGAGGACGGUACUCCAGGAAUAAGUGUCGGCUAACUACGUGCCAGCAGCCGCGGUAAUACGUAGGACACGAGCGUUAUCCGGGUUUACUGGGCGUAAAGCGCCUGUAGGCGGUUCUUCAAGUCGUUUGUGAAAGCCCUGGGCUCAACCUGGGGAGGCCAAGCGAUACUGGAGGACUUGAGGGUGACAGAGGGGAGUGGAAUUUCCGGUGUAGCGGUAAAAUGUGCAGAUAUCGGGAGGAACACCAGUGGCGAAGGCGGCUCCCUGGGUCACCCCUGACGCUGAGAGGCGAAAGCUAGGGGAGCAAACAG